rnacentral:rRNA from 1 species
GAUCCUGGCUCAGAAUCAACGCUGGCGGCGCGCCUAACACAUGCAAGUCGAACGAGAAAGUGGAGCAAUCCAUGAGUACAGUGGCGUACGGGUGAGUAACACGUGGGUGAUCUACCUCUUAGUGAGGAAUAACCCUGGGAAACCGGGGCUAAUACCGCAUAAGCCUGAGAAGGGAAAGUCGAAAGACGCUGAGAGAGGAGCCCGCGGCCGAUUAGCUAGUUGGUGAGGUAAGAGCCCACCAAGGCAGAGAUCGGUAGCCGGCCUGAGAGGGCACACGGCCACACUGGCACUGAAACACGGGCCAGACUCCUACGGGAGGCA